UGGGGAAUAUUGCACAAUGGAGGGAACUCUGAUGCAGCGACGCCGCGUGAGUGAUGAAGGAAUUCGUUUCGUAAAACUCUGUUCUAUGGGAAGAAAAGGACUGUACCAUAGGAGAAAGCUCCGGCUAAAUACGUGCCAGCAGCCGCGGUAAUACGUAUGGAGCGAGCGUUGUCCGGAAUUAUUGGGCGUAAAGGGUGCGCAGGCGGCUUUACAAGUUGGAUGUGAAAUAUUGUGGCUCAACCACAAACGUGCAUCCAAAACUGCAAAGCUUGAGUUAAGGAGAGGUAAGUGGAAUUCCUGGUGUAGCGGUGGAAUGCGUAGAUAUCAGGAGGAAUACCGGUGGCGAAGGCGACUUACUGGACUUAAACUGACGCUCGGGCACGAAAGCGUGGGGAGCAAACAGG
rnacentral:rRNA from 1 species